rnacentral:rRNA from 1 species
UACGUAGGGGGCAAGCGUUGUCCGGAUUCAUUGGGCGUAAAGAGCUCGUAGGCGGCUUGGCAAGUCGGGUGUGAAACCUCCAGGCUCAACCUGGAGACGCCACCCGAUACUGCCAUGGCUAGAGUCCGGUAGGGGACCACGGAAUUCCUGGUGUAGCGGUGAAAUGCGCAGAUAUCAGGAGGAACACCGGUGGCGAAGGCGGAUCUCUGGGCCGUAACUGACGCUGAGGAGCGAAAGCAUGGGGAGCAAACGGG